GAUGAACGCUGGCGGCGUGCCUAAUACAUGCCAGUCGAGCGAACGGACGAGAAGCUUGCUUCUCUGAUGUUAGCGGCGGACGGGUGAGUAACACGUGGAUAACCUACCUAUAAGACUGGGAUAACUUCGGGAAACCGGAGCUAAUACCGGAUAAUAUUUUGAACCGCAUGGUUCAAUAGUGAAAGACGGUCUUGCUGUCACUUAUAGAUGGAUCCGCGCUGCAUUAGCUAGUUGGUAAGGUAACGGCUUACCAAGGCAACGAUGCAUAGCCGACCUGAGAGGGUGAUCGGCCACACUGGAACUGAGACACGGUCCAGACUCCUACGGGAGGCAGCAGUAGGGAAUCUUCCGCAAUGGGCGAAAGCCUGACGGAGCAACGCCGCGUGAGUGAUGAAGGUCUUCGGAUCGUAAAACUCUGUUAUUAGGGAAGAACAUAUGUGUAAGUAACUGUGCACAUCUUGACGGUACCUAAUCAGAAAGCCACGGCUAACUACGUG
rnacentral:rRNA from 1 species